rnacentral:rRNA from 1 species
UACGUAGGGGGCAAGCGUUGUCCGGAAUCAUUGGGCGUAAAGAGCGUGUAGGCGGUUCAGUAAGUCUGCUGUGAAAGUCCAGGGCUCAACCCUGGGAUGCCGGUGGAUACUGCUGAACUUGAGUCCGGAAGAGGCGGGUGGAAUUCCUGGUGUAGCGGUGAAAUGCGCAGAUAUCAGGAGGAACACCGAUGGCGAAGGCAGCCCGCUGGGACGUGACUGACGCUGAGACGCGAAAGCGUGGGGAGCAAACAGG